AAAUUGCUUCUUCUUCCCCCAGUACCAGCAGUCAUUGCAAAGCUACAUUUUUGAUCUGGUAGGACUUUCAGAAUAGGCCCUUUCCCAUACUGGAAGUGCCAUUUAAACUUGUAUCUUGGAACUCCAUUGCUUUAAUUCAAGGGUUGGGAGCUGUGCUCUUCCAUCCUGUGGUCCUCCAGGACCUAAAGCCAAUGGAGGUGGCUGUUCCUGGACAUAACAGGCUCAGCAAGUUGUCAGCAGCCUCAGGACUCAGCAGGAGUGGUCAGCGUUCACGGCAGGAGGUCCCUCCUUUCUCCUGAAUCUGUAGGUCCCAGUGCAG
ensembl:lncRNA